rnacentral:rRNA from 1 species
GGAUCAUUACUGAGUUUACGCUCUACAACCCUUUGUGAACAUACCUAUAACUGUUGCUUCGGCGGGUAGGGUCUCCGUGACCCUCCCGGCCUCCCGCCCCCGGGCGGGUCGGCGCCCGCCGGAGGAUAACCAAACUCUGAUUUAACGACGUUUCUUCUGAGUGGUACAAGCAAAUAAUCAAAGCUUUUAACAACGGAUCUCUUGGUUCUGGCAUCGAUGAAGAACGCAGCGAAAUGCGAUAAGUAAUGUGAAUUGCAGAAUUCAGUGAAUCAUCGAAUCUUUGAACGCACAUUGCGCCCGCCAGCAUUCUGGCGGGCAUGCCUGUUCGAGCGUCAUUUCAACCCUCAAGCUCUGCUUGGUGUUGGGGCCCUACAGCUGAUGUAGGCCCUCAAAGGUAGUGGCGGACCCUCCCGGAGCCUCCUUUGCGUAGUAACUUUACGUCUCGCACUGGGAUCCGGAGGGACUCUUGCCGUAAAACCCCCAAUUUUCCAAAGGUUGACCUCGGAUCAGGUAGGAAUACCCGCUGAACUUAAGCAUAUCAAUAAGCGGAGGAAAAGAAACCAACAGGGAUUGCCUCAGUAACGGCGAGUGAAGCGGCAACAGCUCAAAUUUGAAAUCUGGCCCUAGGCCCGAGUUGUAAUUUGCAGAGGAUGCUUUUGGUGAGGUGCCUUCCAAGUUCCCUAGAACGGGACGCCAGAGAGGGUGAGAGCCCCGUACAGUUGGACACCAAGCCUUUGUAAAGCUCCUUCGACGAGUCGAGUAGUUUGGGAAUGCCGCUCAAAAUGGGAGGUAUAUUUCUUCUAAAGCUAAAUACCGGCCAGAGACCGAUAGCGCACAAGUAGAGUGAUCGAAAGAUGAAAAGCACUUUGAAAAGAGGGUUAAACAGCACGUGAAAUUGUUAAAAGGGAAGCGCUUGUGACCAGACUUGCGUCCGGUGAAUCACCCAGCUCUCGCGGCUGGGGCACUUCGCCGGCUCAGGCCAGCAUCAGCUCGCUGUCGGGGACAAAAGCUUCAGGAACGUAGCUCUCUUCGGGGAGUGUUAUAGCCUGUUGCAUAAUACCCUUCGGCGGGCUGAGGUACGCG